AAAAGCUCGUAGUUGGAUUUGAGUCGCGGACGCGUCGGUCCGCCCUUACCGGGCGGUCCACCGGCCGUUCCGGACAAGUAGCCUGUUUCCCCCGAUGAUCUUCGCCGGUUGUAGGGGGAAGACCGGCAGGUUUACUUUGAAAAAAUUAGAGUGUUCAUGGCAGGCCGUGGAAGCCUGGAUAAUGGUGCAUGGAAUAAUGGAAUAGGACCCCGGUUCUAUUUUGUUGGUUUUCGGAACCCGAGGUAAUGAUUAAGAGGGACGGACGGGGGCAUUAGUAUUGCGACGCUAGAGGUGAAAUUCUUGGACCGUCGCAAGACUAACCACAGCGAAAGCAUUUGCCAAGAAUGUUUCCAUUAAUCAAGAACGAAAGUUAGAGGUUCGAAGGCGAUCAGAUACCGCCCUAGUUCUAACCAUAAACGAUGCCAGCUUGCGAUCCGGCUGCGUUCCUCAAAUGACGCGCCGGGCAGCCUCCGGGAAACCAAAGCUUUUGGGUUCCGGGGAAAGUAUGGUUGCAAAGCUGAAAUUUAAAGGAAUUGACGGAAGCGCACCACAAGCAUUGGGGUAUGCGGCUUAAUUUGACUCAACACGGGAAAGCUUACCAGGCCCAGACGCAGGAAGGAUUGACAGAUUAAGAGCUCUUUCUUGAUUCUGCGGAAGGUGGUGCAUGGCCGUUCUUCGUUGGUGGAGUGAUUUGUCUGGUUAAUUCCGAUAACGAACGAGGUUCCAACCUGCUAACUAGGCGCUGCGAUCCCCCGGGGUCGCACGCUCUAACUCUUCUUAGAGGGACAGGCGGCGUCCAGCCGCACGAAACGGAGCAAUAACAGGUCUUGAAUGCCCUCAGAUGCCCUGGGCCGCACGCGCACCACAUUGAAAGAAUCAGCGUGUGCCUUCCCUGUCCGACAGGACUGGGGAACCCGUUGAACCUCUUUCGUGCUGGGGAUAGGGGCUUGAAAUUGUUCCCCUUGAACGAGGAAAUCCUAGUAAGCGGGAGUCAUUAGCUCCCGUUGAUUAUGUCCCUGCGCUUUGUGCACACCGCCCGUCGCUACUACCGAUUGAAUGAUUUAGUGAGGUCUUCGGACUGGCGCCCGGAGCGGGAGGUGUCCCACCAUCUCUCCGCGCCGGUAAUGUGCCGGAAAGAUGACCGAACUUGACCAUUUAGAGGAAGUAAAAGUCGUAACAAGGUUUC
rnacentral:rRNA from 1 species